AUUGAACGCUGGCGGCUGGCCUAACACAUGCAAGUCGAACGAGUGGCGGACGGGUGAGUAAUGUCUGGGACACUGCCCGAUGGAGGGGGAUAACUACUGGAAACGGUAGCUAAUACCGCAUACCAUCGGAUGUGCCCAGAUGGGAUUGGCUAGUAGGUGGGGUAAGGGCUCACAGAGGCGACGAUCCCUAGCUGGUCUGAGAGGAGGACCAGCCACACUGGAAAUGAGACACGGGCCAGACUCCUACGGGAGGCAGAAGUGGGGAAUAUUGCAAAAGGGGCGCAAGCCUGAUGCAGCCAUGCCGCGUGUAUGAAGAAGGCCUUCGGGUUGUAAAGUACUUUCAGCGAGGAGGCGUUACUCGCAGAAGAAGCACCGGCUAACUCCGUGCCAGCAGCCGCGGUAAUAC
rnacentral:rRNA from 1 species